UNGCUUGGUACCAGCAGCUGAAUGUGA
rnacentral:piRNA from 1 species